GGGCCUAUAGUGCAGCGGUUAACACAGGGGACUCAUAAUCCCUUCAUCCCAGGUUCGAAUCCUGGUGGGCCCA
rnacentral:tRNA from 2 species